rnacentral:rRNA from 1 species
UACGUAGGGUGCGAGCGUUAAUCGGAAUUACUGGGCGUAAAGCGUGCGCAGGCGGCUUUGCAAGACAGAUGUGAAAUCCCCGGGCUCAACCUGGGAACUGCAUUUGUGACUGCAAGGCUAGAGUACGGCAGAGGGGGAUGGAAUUCCGCGUGUAGCAGUGAAAUGCGUAGAUAUGCGGAGGAACACCAAUGGCGAAGGCAAUCCCCGGGGCCUGUACUGACGCUCAUGCACGAAAGCGUGGGGAGCAAACAGG